UCUUGCGCAAUGGGCGAAAGCGUGACGAUCAGACGCCGCGGGUGGGAUGAGGGCGUUUGGGUUGUAAACCUUUUACAUCACAGAUGAAGUUGCUCCCACGUGUGGGUGUGGUGACGGUAUGUCAGAAGAAGCAACACCAACUACGUUCCCGCAGCCGCGGUAAUAAAUAGGGAGCGAGCGUUGUCUGGAAAUAUAAGCGUAAAGAAGUCGUAGGCGGUUUGUGGAUUCUUCCGUGAAAGUCCGGGGGUCAAUUCCGGAUGAGCGGUGGGUACGGGCAGAGAAGAGUGAUGUAGGGGAGAGUGGAAUCCUUUUUGUAGCACUGAACUGAGUAGAUAUCGAAAGGAACACCACUAGCGAAGGCGAGUCCCUGGACAACUCACGUUGUUAAGGCAAGAAAGAUAAGGGAGCAAACAGGAUUAGAUACCCCGGUUAUCUUAGCCGUAAAAGGUGGGCAUUUGGUGUGAGAGGAAUCGA
rnacentral:rRNA from 1 species